UACGUAGGGGGCAAGCGUUGUCCGGAUUUAUUGGGCGUAAAGAGCGUGUAGGCGGUUCGGUAAGUCUGUCGUGAAAUCCUGAGGCUCAACCUUGGACGUGCGAUGGAUACUGCCGGGCUAGAGGAUGGUAGAGGCGAGUGGAAUCCUCGGUGUAGCGGUGAAAUGCGCAGAUAUCGGGAGGAACACCAGUAGCGAAGGCGGCUCGCUGGGCCAUUCCUGACGCUGAGACGCGAAAAGCUAGGGGGAGCGAACAGG
rnacentral:rRNA from 1 species